UAAAACUAACUGGACUUGGUUCUGGAAGUUGACCCAGAAAGAGAGACAGAAAGCAUCCAUUCUCUCACACACACCUCGAUAAGUCGAUAUAAAUAGAGUAAGAUGAUUAGUGUAGAGAGAGAUCAUUAUUAGCAUUCGAUCUGCUUCUUCGCCAUCGAAGUAAUUAAUCAAAUCGGAGGAGAUCAUUAGCAAAUUAUCAGCUUGGGCUUCAUGGGGAAGGUGUGCCUUCUCGUCAUCGACGAGAACCUCUUCAAUGGCAUCCUCCUCGUCGCCAUCGUCGUCAUCAUGUUCAUGCUGCUCGCCGGCGGCGGCGCGCCGCCGCCGCGCCGCCGCGGCUUCUGCGUGUACUGACUGACCGGCCGGCGAGUGAAACCAUGAACAACACUGCAGGUGCAGAAAUAUAUGUGAAGGAUUUUCUGUUUGAUCAGGGCAUGUCUUGGAGGAGUUUGCAGUUCAUAACUUUUUUUUUUUGGUAAAAAAAAAAGUUGAGUUGUUGGUGGCAAGUGGCAACGGUGGUCUCUCUGUAGAAUUGUUGUGUAAUUUGUAUCAAUAUAUAUUGUAUAUAGUAACAACGGAUAUUUAUUUGAGAUUCAUUGCAUCUUACAGGCUUA